rnacentral:ncRNA from 1 species
GGUCAAGUGACUAAGUGCAUGUGGUGGAUGCCUUGGCGAUUACAGGCGAAGAAGGACGUGAUAGCCUGCGAUAAGCUUCGGGGAGCUGGCAAAUUAGCUUUGAUCCGGAGAUUUCCGAAUGGGGAAACCCACCUCGCAAGAGGUAACGCAUGCUGAAUACAUAGGCAUGCGUGGCGAACCGGGUGAACUGAAACAUCUCAGUAGCUCGAGGAAAAGACAUCAACCGAGAUUCCGAAAGUAGUGGCGAGCGAAAUCGGAGUAGCCCUCGCGUUUUAGCAGUUUGCAUAUCAGAACGGAAUGGAAAGUCCGGCCAUAGCGGGUGAAUAGCCCGUAUGAG